rnacentral:pre_miRNA from 1 species
UUGGUACUUGAAGAGUGGUUAUCCCUGUCCUGUUCGUUUUGCUCAUGUCGAAUCGUACAGGGUCAUCCACUUUUUCAGUAUCAA